AGAAAGUAAACAUUGAUGGGGUCUGCAUGCAAGUCCAGACAGAAAUGACCUACAAAUGAAUCAUUUACUGUCCUGUUCCUAUGUGAUUUGAGGGAAAAUUCUAUUUGGUGUUGGCUUUAU